ACACACACACACACACACACACACACACACACACACACUCAAGCUGCUAAUCUGUCAGCGAUAUGAACAUAAGAAGGGGUUUGUGGGUCUUCCCCAGGAGCCAGCGGGUGAACAGAGCUCACCAGCUGCUGUGCUUCAGUAAUCCCUGUGAAAUCUCACUUUCUCCUGGACAAUUCGCACUGCUCGCCGGCACGAUGUCCCAUUUCAUGCCUGCCAUCUCACCCCUCUGAUCCACUUAUUAACAUCACAUCCAUGCUCGGCAAUUGUCCCCUGGCCCGGCCUCGCUCCUCUGCUGCUAUCACAUGCAGAAACAGAGAAGGACGGGUUUCUGCACUGGCUGACCAGCAGUUCCUCCAGCUUG